rnacentral:rRNA from 1 species
UACAGAGGGGGCAAGCGUUGUUCGGAAUUACUGGGCGUAAAGGGCGCGUAGGCGGCCUUCUAAGUCGAACGUGAAAUCCCCGGGCUCAACCCGGGAACUGCGUCCGAUACUGGAAGGCUUGAAUUCGGGAGAGGGAUGCGGAAUUCCAGGUGUAGCGGUGAAAUGCGUAGAUAUCUGGAGGAACACCGGUGGCGAAGGCGGCAUCCUGGACCGGCAUUGACGCUGAGGCGCGAAAGCCAGGGGAGCAAAGCGGGG